rnacentral:rRNA from 1 species
AACGAACGCUGGCGGCAUGCCUAACACAUGCAAGUCGAACGAGACCUCCGGGUCUAGUGGCGCACGGGUGCGUAACGCGUGGGAAUCUGCCCUUGGGUUCGGAAUAACAGCGAGAAAUUGCUGCUAAUACCGGAUGAUGACGUAAGUCCAAAGAUUUAUCGCCCAAGGAUGAGCCCGCGUAGGAUUAGCUAGUUGGUGAGGUAAAGGCUCACCAAGGCGACGAUCCUUAGCUGGUCUGAGAGGAUGAUCAGCCACACUGGGGCUGAGACACGGCCCAGACUCCUACGGGAGGCAGCAGUGGGGAAUAUUGGACAAUGGGCGAAAGCCUGAUCCAGCAAUGCCGCGUGAGUGAAGAAGGCCUUCGGGUUGUAAAGCUCUUUACCCGGGUAAGAUAAUGACUGUACCGGGAGAA